AGUGAACGCUGGCGGUAGGCCUAACACAUGCAAGUCGAACGGCAGCACAGUAAGAGCUUGCUCUUACGGGUGGCGAGUGGCGGACGGGUGAGGAAUACAUCGGAAUCUACUUUUUCGUGGGGGAUAACGUAGGGAAACUUACGCUAAUACCGCAUACGACCUACGGGUGAAAGCAGGGGAUCUUCGGACCUUGCGCGAUUGAAUGAGCCGAUGUCGGAUUAGCUAGUUGGCGGGGUAAAGGCCCACCAAGGCGACGAUCCGUAGCUGGUCUGAGAGGAUGAGAAGCCAAACUGGAAAUGAGACACGGGCGAGAAAACGACUGGAGGCAGAAGUGGGGAAUAUUGAACAAUGGGCGCAAGCCUGAACAAGCAAUAGUGCGUGAGGGAAGCAGGCAUUCGGGUGGUAAAGUCCUUUGGAUGGAAAAGAAAAGUAGCAGGUGAAUAAGCCGCAGUUAGGAAGGGACCAAAGGAAUAAGCACAGGCUAAUGUAGUG
rnacentral:rRNA from 1 species